AAGGUGGGGCUAAUGACUGGGGUGAAGUCGUAACAAGGUAGCCGUACCGGAAGGUGCGGCUGGAUCACCUCCUAACAGGGAGACAACAUUUGAUUAUUGAUGUCUGAUUAAAACAAUCAGGCCAUAAUCCUGUCACCUUAGGUCGAUCGGUACCUCAGAUUAAUAACUUGUAAAUGAGUAAUCAUUUUAAAAACUUGCUAUUGAUUUCAGUUCCUAAACUUGUCUAGGUCACACC
rnacentral:misc_RNA from 1 species